CGCGGUCCACCGUGACUCGGCACCCCCGCCCGUGAGCCUCUAUCCGAUCGGUCCAGUGGACCGGGUCCUUUCUCAGGGCUCGCUCGGCCCCUUAUAAAUACGCUGCCCAGGCAGGGGUGACUUUCCCAUCUUGCAAGUCGCCUCAUUUGUUUAUCAGUUUUAGCACAAACGCAAACUCCGUUCGUUCCCCACCACCAUCUCGUCGAAAACCUAGAAAUUCGGAGUGAGAUUGUGUUCGUCCGUUCGCUUUCGUUUCUUCGAGAUCUGUGAGGAGGGGGGAGAGACAGAUCCGUCGCUUGCUCCCUGUUCGAGGUUUGUGACGAGGACGAGCAGCAGAUUCGACGCGCGCCUCCGAGGUUCUUCCUGGAACUAAUUUGAUGUGCUAUGGAAUCCAAGGGUGGUAAAAAGUCCAGCAGUAGUCGUUCCUCCCUCAUGUACGAAGCUCCCCUCGGCUACAGCAUCGAGGACGUCCGCCCUGCAGGAGGCAUUGAGAAGUUCCGCUCCGCUGCCUACUCAAACUGCUCCAGGAAGCCAUCCUGAUAAUCCCUCUCGCGCCCCCAUCCUAAUUGCUUAGAAUUCCCUUCUGCUUUCAAUUCAUCUUCCUAAAAUUUCUCUGGCUAGCUGCUUUUCUCUGACCAGCAAAGCCUUUCCUCCUCUACCAACCUUCUCAAACAAUGGCCGUCUCUGCGAUUGGGUUUGAGGGAUAUGAGAAGCGCCUGGAGAUCACCUUCUCUGAAGCGCCAGUCUUCACUGACCCCAAUGGCAGGGGAUUGCGUGCUCUCUCUCGUGCCCAGAUCGACUCGGUUCUUGAUCUUGCCAAGUGCACCAUUGUAUCUGAGCUCUCUAAUGACAAGAUUGACUCGUAUGUCCUCUCUGAAUCAAGCCUCUUCAUCUACCCGUACAAGGUUGUGAUCAAGACCUGCGGUUACACCAAGCUCCUGCUGGCCAUUCCAAGGAUUCUUGAGCUUGCUGAGGAGUUGUCCCUGCCACUUGCUGCUGUGAAGUACUCCCGUGGGACAUUCAUAUUCCCUGAGGCACAGCCUUCUCCACACAAGAACUUCUCUGAUGAGGUUGCCUUCCUGAAUGGCUACUUUGGUGGACUCAAGUCUGGCGGCAAUGCCUAUGUCAUUGGUGAUCCUGCAAAGCCAGGCCAGAAGUGGCAUGUCUACUAUGCCACCCAGCAGCCUGAGCAGCCCAUGGUCAACCUUGAGAUGUGCAUGACUGGUCUGGACAAGAAGAAAGCUUCUGUCUUCUUCAAGACCUCUGCUGAUGGCUACACAUCUUGUGCCAAGGAGAUGACCAAGCUCUCUGGCAUCUCUGAAAUAAUCCCGGAGAUGGAGAUCUGUGACUUUGAUUUCGAGCCAUGUGGCUACUCCAUGAACGCCAUCCAUGGCUCUGCUUUCUCCACCAUUCAUGUCACUCCUGAGGACGGCUUCAGCUAUGCUAGCUAUGAGGUCAUGGGGUUGGACCCUGCCUCCAUGGCCUAUGGUGACCUGGUCAAGAGGGUGCUGAGAUCCUUUGGCCCGUCUGAAUUCUCUGUUGCUGUGACCAUCUUUGGCGGUCGCAACCUUGCUGGCACCUGGGGGGAGAGGCUGAAUGUUGGGGUCUAUGAUAGUACCAACAUGGUCGUCCAGGAGCUGCCUGACGGGGGCGCUCUCAUCUACCAGAGCUUCACUGCUGUCGGCGAAGACUCCACCGGGUCACCAAGAUCUGUCCUGAACUGCAACGUUCAUGGCAAUUUAGAGAGCGGCUCCAAGAUGGAUGCUUUCCUUUGCUGGGAAGACGAUGCUGCGCAGGAGAAGGAUGAGAGGGGGGCUGUUAAGAGGAUGAAGAGCUGCUGAUGGUGAUGCUAGCUGGUCUGAACGAGCUUGUGUUGCGUCAGUUUGUUCUUAGAGAUUUCCUGUUCCUGUCCUAUUACUUUUGUUAUGGACAAGUGACGUGAAAAUGGUUAGCGUUUUCUGCCAGUGUGAGCGAAUGUAUGGAAAUGCCUGUCUCUGGCUGCAUGGUUUAUGAAUAUAAGAAUAAGCCUUGUAUUGAGCAAAUGUUAUUUUGUUAUUUCCUGAAAGUUUUGUUAGAAGCCAUUCUUGUCUGUCGUGGACCUAUUGAACUCUGGCGAAUCUGAUUCAGUUCUGAUGGUGCGGAGGUUCGGGUACUAAUGCUGCUUGUGGUGAUUAUUCGAUAAGAAUCUAUCUCUUGGAGAUGUCGAUGCUCGAUAAGAAAGCCAUGCAGUUGAUGGUGGUGGCUGCAUAUAAGAGAUCCAUGCCAGUGUUAUUGCAAGACUUGCCCAAGUUAACCAAAGCUCUGGCAUAUUUUGGAGGUUGAGAACCCUCAAGCCAUCAGAAAUCUUGUCUGAACCUGCCCAAAGAAAGGCCCUCUUGAUCUUCUCAAAAGAAGGUACUAGGGUCGUCGACCACUGCUGUUCCGCUCUUUCAGAAUGCUCCACGGAGCAAGAAUUAGGCAUGUAUAUCAAAUCCUCUUUUUCUCUCCAUUCUCUCCCUGCUGAAUUGUCCGCAAACCUCAACGACCAUAUCAGAACUGCAUGUCAUGUCAUGUCGUUGUGUAGAAUUUUAGGCCUCCUUUGAUUUACAGGAGUUUUGUAGGAAUUCUAAAGGAUAUGAAUCUGUAGGAAAGAAUUCUUUGAAGCUCUUUGACUUGUAGAAAUGGACUCCUGUUCCUAUGCAG
rnacentral:rRNA from 1 species